CCUACGGGCGGCAGCAGUGAGGAAUAUUGGUCAAUGGACGAGAGUCUGAACCAGCCAAGUAGCGUGAAGGAUGACUGCCCUAUGGGUUGUAAACUUCUUUUAUAUGGGAAUAAAAUGUUCCACGUGUGGGAUUUUGUAUGUACCAUAUGAAUAAGGAUCGGCUAACUCCGUGCCAGCAGCCGCGGUAAUACGGAGGAUCCGAGCGUUAUCCGGAUUUAUUGGGUUUAAAGGGAGCGUAGGUGGAUUGUUAAGUCAGUUGUGAAAGUUUGCGGCUCAACCGUAAAAUUGCAGUUGAAACUGGCAGUCUUGAGUACAGUAGAGGUGAGCGGAAUUCGUGGUGUAGCGGUGAAAUGCUUAGAUAUCACGAAGAACUCCGAUUGCGAAGGCAGUUCACUGGACUGCAACUGACACUGAGGCUCGAAAGUGUGGGUAUCAAACAGGAUUAGAUACCCCAGUAGUC
rnacentral:rRNA from 1 species